rnacentral:rRNA from 1 species
UUUGGGGUGUGACUGCGUACCUUUUGUAUAAUGGGUCAGCGACUUAUAUUCUGUAGCAAGGUUAACCGAAUAGGGGAGCCGGAGGGAAACCGAGUCUUAAUUGGGCGUUAAGUUGCAGGGUAUAGACCCGAAACCCGGUGAUCUAGCCAUGGGCAGGUUGAAGGUUGGGUAACACUAACUGGAGGACCGAACCGACUAAUGUUGAAAAAUUAGCGGAUGACCUGUGGCUGGGGGUGAAAGGCCAAUCAAACCGGGAGAUAGCUGGUUCUCCCCGAAAGCUAUUUAGGUAGCGCCUCGUGAAUUCAUCUCCGGGGGUAGAGCACUGUUUCGGCUAGGGGGCCAUCCCGGCUUACCAACCCGAUGCAAACUGCGAAUACCGGAGAAUGUUAUCACGGGAGACACACGGCGGGUGCUAACGUCCGUCGUGAAGAGGGAAACAACCCAGACCGCCAGCUAAGGUCCCAAAGUCAUGGUUAAGUGGGAAACGAUGUGGGAAGGCCCAGACAGCCAGGAUGUUGGCUUAGAAGCAGCCAUCAUUUAAAGAAAGCGUAAUAGCUCACUGGUCGAGUCGGCCUGCGCGGAAGAUGUAACGGGGCUAAACCAU